ensembl:lncRNA
UAUUGAAGCCCUUUCCUGUUAUUCUGCAACAAAUUUGCAUGCUUGUUUUGAAACAUGGUCCCACUGCUGCUUUUAUAGGGGGCAGAAAAAAAACCCACUGCAGAUACAUUGAAAUAAAUCCAAAUAAAUAACUGGCAGGAGAAAAUGUCUGAACCACUAUAUUCUGUUUUUAUAGGUUAUAUAGUAGGGGUCCCGUAAUAUCAUUUUUAUUUUUUUAUUUUGCAGAAUUAUUGAAGCAUAUGGGAUUUUUGAUACCCCAAACACUUUUCAGACAACAUUUUCUUGUCAUAAUGCCCACAAAUAUGUCUCCUCAUUAUUUUAAUGCAAAAGAUGUAUAAUUUAAAACGAAGUUUUCCAAUCUCCAAAGAACAAUUUAUCCAAAUAAAGAAACUUACAUAACUGAAAAUUAUUAACAGUGAGUUUGAUAUGGAUUUAUAGCAUUCUCUACGCACUGACAUGAUGUAGGCUACCAUAGUUGUAGAUUUAGUUAUGGACGGUAGGAAUAUUUAUUGCAGAGCCUGGAGAUGUUGAUUUACAGCCUACAGUAGUUUUUAUUACAGUCUAAUUCGGCUUGGCCAGCGCUACUCCAGAAGUCACCUUUAGAUGUCGCCAAAAUAAUUACUCAACCAACACAUUAUAUUUUAAAGUUAGAAUAAAUUCUCUCUCAUUAAACCUGUUACAAUCGGUUUUAUAUAGUUAUUUUAGGUGUUAGAACUGAAGUUGAACAUAAAGCGUCACCUAUAAUUUCAUAACACAAAGCAUUCUAAUCAGAGAGGACAGAACUUCGCUGCUGUCUUGCAAAUUCAUCUGUGAGCAGUAAAGUUACCGGGAAUGAGAGCAGAGGAAGACACGAUGGGAUGCGCUUCUAGCACUCAGACCACAGCUCAAGACACAACACGACCCAACACCAAACAAGAUGGGAGCACAUCAGGAACAAAUAAUGAAAACGGUGGUCCUGCAGCAGACAGCAAGACAGUUCCAGACCAAACCCAGGCCGCGGAAUCUCCACAGACAUCCAGUGGAGCUCCUGUUGCCUCUGAGGAAAUACAGAGCUCUGCGGCUGCUGUAGCUCACAGUGAACCAGAAGCAGCUGCUGCUGAGGCCAUUACAUCUGACCAGCCUGCUGAACCCGAAUCAAACCCCUCCACAACAGCUGACAGUACCGAAGAACCAGCACCAAGUGAAAACACAACUGAGGCCCAGGCUGAAUCUUCCCCACCAGAGGAAGCACCUGCCUCUGGUGAAGACAGUUAA